AUUGAACGCUGGCGGCAUGCCUUACACAUGCAAGUCGAACGGCAGCAUGGAGAGCUUGCUCUCUGAUGGCGAGUGGCGAACGGGUGAGUAAUGCAUCGGAACGUACCGUGUAAUGGGGGAUAACGUAGCGAAAGUUACGCUAAUACCGCAUACGACCUGAGGGUGAAAGCAGGGGAUCGCAAGACCUUGCGUUAUACGAGCGGCCGAUGUCAGAUUAGCUAGUUGGUGAGGUAAAGGCUCACCAAGGCGACGAUCUGUAGCGGGUCUGAGAGGAUGAGCCGCCACACUGGGAAUGAGACACGGCCCAGACUCCUACGGGAGGCAGCAGUGGGGAAUUUUGGACAAUGGGGGCAACCCUGAUCCAGCCAUGCCGCGUGAGUGAAGAAGGCCUUCGGGUUGUAAAGCUCUUUCGGCCGGGAAGAAAUCGCACAGGCUAAUACUCUGUGUGGAUGACGGUACCGGCAUAAGAAGCACCGGCUAACUACGUGCCAGCCGCCGCCGUAA
rnacentral:rRNA from 1 species